ensembl:misc_RNA Metazoa_SRP Metazoan signal recognition particle RNA
AGGUACAGUAGUAUGAGCCUAUAAUCCCAGCUACUCAGGAACCUGAGGCAGGAGGAUCUCUUGAGCUCAGGAUAUAGUGCACUAUGCUGACAGGAUGUCCUCACUAAUUUUGACAUCCAUAUGGUGACCUCCCAGGAACGGGGGACCACCAGGUUGCCUAAAGAGGGGUGAACCGGCCCAGGUCAGAAACGGAGCAGGUCAAAACUCCCAUGCUAAUCAGUAGAGGGAUCAUGCCUAUAAAUAGUCACUGCACUCCAGCCUUAGCAACAUAGCAAGACCUCAUCGCUU